AUCCCGGCCUCAGCUGAACCACCGCCCGAGGUGUCGUACCAAGUGACCCGGCAGGGCUGCUGGGUCCCAGGCUGUCGGGAGGAAGUGGCCGAAGGCGAAUGUGCUAAGCCAGAUUGUUGAGCAGAUAAGCUCAGGGUGGUGUUGGGGAGGCCCCUGGGAUCGGUCCCCGGGGCCCGUUGGGUGCUUCCAGAAGCAUCCGCGGUAACCUAGGAGGCGAAUGGGUGAGGGGUUCUGAGAAAACUGUGAGCAAAGGCUCAGGCAGCAGGGUGGCUGGCUGGUUGAGAUUGCUGAGACCAGCCGGGUUAGACAUAGGUGUGCUGAGAAAGGUGGAUAGCUGCCCUUCCAGUGCUUAGGUGAAAUUUAAGUAUUUAGGAACUUAAGAUAUAAAAAACACAGGGUUUGCCUGGGAGUAGUGGCACAUGAGUUCACUAGUCUAUGUAGUUCCAGGACAGCCUAGGCGAUAUAAUAGACCCUGUCUCAAAAGGCGGGGGUGGGGGUGGGGGAGCUUGUUGGUCUACCCCUUGUGAUCCCUAUCUUGGAGACCAGAAGGAUUAGAAGAUACAGUUAAUCCUUGGCUGCAUAGCUUUGAGGAAGUCCCUGCCUGAAAGUGCGAUAAGGUAUUUGCAAAUUCAUCUUCCUGAAUGAGAAUUUCUUGAAGUUGGUCAUGCGUACAAACCAGGUGUGGUAGUGAAUGCUUGUCAUCACAGCAUUCCGCAGGCUGAGACAGGAGAAUCUUGAGGCUUCAGAAAUUCACCAGCAUUGCUAGGAAACCAUCUCCCCAGCCCCCAGCCUGGCAUCUCCCCAACCUCUGAAGAAGGGAAGAGUUCAGCUCUCUAGAGUUACAGCCUAAAGAACUUGAUUCCUCCAAGGCUGAUGAGCUCUGGUGACCAGUGCUGGCCAGACUAUGGUUGACUAAACAGAUGAUAAUAAUUAAGAACUCAGAGAUAGCAGACAAUGGUGGCACACACCUUUAAUCACAGCAGAGGAAGAUGUAUCUUUAAAUUCAAGGCCAGCCUGGUCUACAGAGUGAGUUCCAGGACUGCCAGGGCUACAUAGAGAAACCCUGUCUCUGGGGAUAGGUGGGAACCCUUAAAAGACUUUGCUGGGCUGGACCCAAGAUUCAGCCCAUCUGGUAUUUUCUGGCUGUGUGAGUAAAACUUCUGGGUUUGACUGGU
rnacentral:lncRNA from 1 species